UUUUUGGAGAGUUUGAUCUUGGCUCAGGACGAACGCUGGCGGCGUGCCUAAUACAUGCAAGUCGAGCGCGGGAAGCUAACUGAUCUCCUUCG
rnacentral:rRNA from 1 species